GUGCCUGUCCUCUGCUUGACAUUGGAUGGGGAGGGAAGGAAGACACGGUAAUGUCUCUUAUUCUUACCUUGUUUAGAACAAAAGAAAGAAAAGUCCUGGCUCAGUGGUUCCAGGCGUCGGUGGCACACUGCCUGUCAGGUCUGGACUGCUUAGUCUGGUGAGUGAGUUCAUGAUGUUUGACGUGCUAUGAAGUUGCAGGGGAAACCUGCUGGAAGUAUCUCGUGUUCAACAACUGGGCCAUGUGGCUAUAUGGAAGAUGGUGUGCGCAGGGGGUGAUGUGCAUUGGCCCCACGGCACUACCUCUCGCAGCUGUCAGAACUACUGCAGGCUAGCCAGUGGUGACACGACUCUUUAAAAGUCACAGUAUUAUUUCUUACUUCAGAAAAUAGGGCCUUGGAAAAAUAUUUGCUCUGGAUGCAUUUCUCACUCCCCAGAACCAACCCCCCAUUUACAAACCACAGAAAGAAGCCACCUCUGACUCAGAAAUUGGAGCGACCAUUAAAAUGCAAGUUUUAAUUUCAUAAACGUGAGGAUUUCCAUGGUUGGCAUUGGGAGGUGUGUGUGUGUGUGUGUGUGUGUGUGUGUGUUAGGGUUUCUAUUGCUGUGAUAAAACACCAUAACCAAAAUCAACUUGGGAAAGAAUAGAUUUAUUUCAGCUUAUAGUUCUGCCUCACAGUCUAUCAUCAAAGAAGUCAGGGCAGGAACUUAAGCAGGGCAGAAACCUGGACACAGGAACUUAAGCAGAAGCCAUAGAGGUAUGCUGCUUACUGGCUUGCUCAUCAUGGCUUGCUCAGCCUGCCUUCUUAUAGAACCCAGGACUCCCAGCCAUGGCUUGGCACAGCCUACAGAGACCUGGGCCCUCUCGAAUCAAUCACUAAUCAAGAAAAUGCCCUACAGGUUUGCCUAUAAUCCAUCCAGUGGAGGCAGUUUCUUGAUUAAGAUUCUUUCUUCCCAGAUGAUCCUCAUUUGUGUCAAGUUGACAUAAAAACUAUCCAGUAUUCUGUGUGUGUGUAGAGAGAGAGAGAGAGAGAGAGAGAGAGAGAGAGAGAUUUAAUGUUACUCUUUUAAUGACAGUUUAUGAUGAACUUUUCCCGCUAAUAACCCCCAAACUUUAUUGGGUUAACGGAACAAUUACUCAUUCAGCUCACAAACUUCUGAGUUGACAUUGUGCACUGGACUCAGAUGGGUGGCUUUUCAUUGUCAAUGGUUCGCUCUAUGUCAGAUGGGCGUGGCUUGGGGUUAGCUGGCUCAGAUUGGCCUCUACUGCAAUGGCUGCCCUCCAAGCUCCAGCUUGGCCCAGGCUCGUUUACAUGUUUGCCUAGCACAGUUCUAAGAACUGCAGUGUGCAAGGCGUGAGUGUGCAAGAACAAGGCCACAUUUACUGCGUUCCAUAGCUCAAGUAAAUUCGUGUUAGUCUAAUCCAAAAGGAUGGAAAAUUAGGCUCCACCCUCCAAUAAGAAGAGCUCCAAAGUCACCAUUAAAGGAGUGUAGCUACAAGGCAAAAUAGAACAUAUUUGAUAAGAAAUGCCCAGAGAUUGGCAUCAUCUCACCUUUUCACUUCUAUCUAUGGGUCUGCUUUUCUUUUCCUUUUCAUAUUAUUAAUAUCUUUCAUUCUUGAUAUUUGGUAUACUCAGUACUAUACGACUUAGGGGCAUUGUCAUGCAAGCGUACAUUAAACAUUGAGCCCAUGACAGCCUAGCUUCCCACACUGCCUUUCACAGCCCAAUCCUCCUUGUUAGUCAGUCCCUUUUGCUUCUAUAGACAGUUUUGUGUCUACUUUCACCAUAUCAUUUUCUUC
ensembl:sense_intronic Gm26638 predicted gene, 26638